AAUUGAGUUUUAAAUUUCUGUUUUUUUUUUUUUGGUUUCCAAUUUUAUAAUUUUAGUGUCAAUCAUUCUUAUAGACAAAAGCCUUACAACGAGAAGAACCCAAUCAUAGGCUGAAUCUUCACUGCCAUUAGAAUCAAACUCCACAUGCCCGAAUAAACCAUAAACACAACCCGGGGGGAAAAAAAUUGCUACUGUCAUGACUGUGGGUUCAAUAAAAAUGGCACUACCCAGAACGGUGGGUUCAAUCAAAAUCGUCUCACUAUCAAUAAAAAAAUUUGCCACGGCUUGGACAAAAGUUUGCCAUAGAAUCCCCUAACAAAAUCUAGAGUGUUGCUAGGUGCACCUUGCAGUUUUGCUGGUGCACCCAACAAUUAAUGGGAAAAGUCAUUUAUGCCCUUCAGUAAUUUUUUUAAAAAAACAGCUCUCUCGCCUCUCUCUCUCCCGCGUCGUGUUUCAACUUCUUCUUCCUCGGAGUUCUGCUUCUUCUUCAAUCUUCUUCAUUCAUCUGCUUCUUCUUGUGCGUCGCCGCGAUUCCAUCUUCUUCACUGUUCUUGGCAUUUCUGCUUCUUGGCGUUUCAAUCCCUUCAUUGUUCUUCGCAUUUCUUCGCAUUUCUGCGUAGGACUGUGGGUGUGGUUCUUCUUCGCGUUUCUGCUUCAUCUUCGACACUCAGUUUCUUCCUCGAGGACUAGCAUUAUUAGCUUUUUAUAGAACUGGUCAACAAAAACAUAUUGGUCAACGUGGUGCCAGGGGCGUGUUCCAAUGACUACAUCGACUGGUUCUUCCGCAUCUCCCAUCCUUUCAUGACACCAGGCCACGCAGUAGAUCCUCUACCUCAUGGUCACGCCCCGCAGCCCCGAGUCAUCCCUCAGGCCCCGCAGACGGAUAUCCCUCGCGUGCCGGAGCCAGGAGCAUCGUCGACAUCUACGGAGGAGCCCAGACAUGCAGUGGAAGUUUGUGAUGACAUUGUUGAGCGGUUGGAGCGCCAUCUGAGUCUAGGGGUGGUCACGCCUGGCUCAUCGACACAUGAGGUGAUCGAAGAAUGCCUCAGAUUGGCUAGGAGUGUCACACAGGACCAUCUAGUAUACGUUAGGUGUAGACGCAGGCGGCGCACUGAUCAGGCUUAGUUUAUAUACAUAUUUUACAUUGAUAUUCCUUGUAUAUACAGAUAUUGUACAUGAAGUCAUUUCAUGAGUAUUGUUGGUUUUAUUUAUUUUCAUUACUAAUGUUAGUUUUAUUUAUUUUCAUUGAUUGUGUA